rnacentral:rRNA from 1 species
GGUAUGCUAAUACGGGAUAAUAUAUUUGAGAGGCAUCUCUUGAAUAUCAAAGGUGAGCCAGUACAGGAUGGACCCGCGUCUGAUUAGCUAGUUGGUAAGGUAACGGCUUACCAAGGCGACGAUCAGUAGCCGACCUGAGAGGGUGAUCGGCCACAUUGGAACUGAGACACGGUCCAAACUCCUACGGGAGGCAGCAGUGGGGAAUAUUGCACAAUGGGCGAAAGCCUGAUGCAGCAACGCCGCGUGAGUGAUGAAGGCCUUCGGGUCGUAAAACUCUGUCCUCAAGGAAGAUAAUGACGGUACUUGAGGAGGAAGCCCCGGCUAACUACGUGCCAGCAGCCGCGGUAAUACGUAGGGGGCUAGCGUUAUCCGGAUUUACUGGGCGUAAAGGGUGCGUAGGCGGUCUUUCAAGUCAGGAGUGAAAGGCUACGGCUCAACCGUAGUAAGCUCUUGAAACUGGGAGACUUGAGUGCAGGAGAGGAGAGUGGAAUUCCUAGUGUAGCGGUGAAAUGCGUAGAUAUUAGGAGGAACACCAGUUGCGAAGGCGGCUCUCUGGACUGUAACUGACGCUGAGGCACGAAAGCGUGGGGAGCAAACAGGAUUAGAUACCCUGGUAGUCCACGCUGUAAACGAUGAGUAC